UAUUUGAUAAUUUCAUUAUCAGGUGGAUCCAAACGAAGCGAAACGUGAUACUGAUGACCAUGGACCAAAACUAGAUAGCGUUGACUUCUGGCAUAAGCUGAUUGCAUUGAUUGUAUCUGUUAUUGAUGAAGACAAAAAUAGUUAUGGGACAGUGCUCAAUCAAUUUCCCCAGGAAUUGAACAUUGGACAGCUAUCGGCAGCUACUAUGUGGGGUCUUUUCGCCGUAGACAUGAAGUACGCGCUUGAAGAGCAUGAGCAGCAUCGGCUUUGCAAGUCAUCUGCUUACAUGAACUUGCAUUUUCGUGUCAAAUGGCUAUACAGUAACUAUGUUAAGGAGGUGCCACCCUAUAAAGGAGCUGUGCCGGAGUAUCCAGCUUGGUUUGAGCCGUUCGUCAUGCAAUGGCUAAAUGA